rnacentral:pre_miRNA from 1 species
GUCGUCAGAGUGGUUGUGAUAUGUUAUCUUUUAAAUCAUAUCACAGCCAGCUUUGAUGAGCG